CUCCCUUCACCCGCGGCUGCCUCCUGCCCCCAUGACUACAGUGUGAUGCUGUCUGGGAAGCUGAAUGUCAUCUUCCCUGGGCUUACCUGCCAGGCUCCUCUCAUCCACAUCUUCCAGCCUCUAGCCACAUGGGCCCCUCCGGAAAGCAUGUGUGUGUGGGGGGUAUGUGUGAACAUUUUUCAUGCUUGAUGUGAGCCAGAAGAAAAAUGAGCUUCUCUAUUUGAUAAGUGUGGACCUGCCCACAGCACUAAAUUUGGUUCUGCCGUCACCGGCGCCAUGAAGCAGCAGCCUGGUUUAGAGGCUUGCCUUUGGUUUCAAAUAAUUUCUCCAGGCUCAUGUUACAUAUGACCCAUUCACAGAGGCUGGAGGGCAUGGCUUCUCCAGUCCUUAGCACUAAAGACGUGUCUUUUGGCUCCUGCACGACUAGCACAGGCAGUAGAACCAGAUGGGGGAUGCUCUGAGGUUGCAGAGGCAGGAAGGCAAGCGGGAGAGAGCUUGGGCCUGGACAGAGGGAUGAGCUGGCUCCCUCCCCAGCUGUGAAAUCUCUAAGUCUCAGUUUGCUUCUCUGCAAAAUGAGGAUAAUAAUCCCCACCUCGGGACUGAGGAUUAACGAGGCAAUGGUUUUAGCAGAAUAAUCCACUGCUGCUAUUAUUAUCAGCAUCUUCGUAUAGCAAAACUCAUUUGGACCAAUGGGGAGUGCGUUAAGUUGGUCUGAAGUAGGGCAAAGGAACGAUUAUAGAAUGUUUCAAAGGAAAUGUG
ensembl:lncRNA novel transcript, antisense to MAPT